rnacentral:rRNA from 1 species
AGGUGCGGAGCCGUAGCGAAAGCGAGUUUUAACUGAGCGUUCAGUUACUUGACGUAGACCCGAAACCGGGCGACCUACCCAUGAGCAGGAUGAAGCGAAAGUAAAAUUUCGUGGAGGUCCGAACCCACGAGCGUUGAAAAGCUCGGGGAUGACUUGUGGGUAGCGGUGAAAUUCCAAUCGAGCCCGGAGAUAGCUGGUUCUCCCCGAAAUAGCUUUAGGGCUAGCCUCAAGGUGAGAGAUACGGAGGUAGAGCACUGAAUGUCCUAGGGGGUAUUGCACCUACCGAAGACUAUCAAACUCCGAAUGCCGUCAUCUUAUACUUGGGAGUCAGACUGUGGGUGAUAAGAUUCAUAGUCGAAAGGGCAACAGCCCAGAUCGUCAGCUAAGGUCCCUAAAUGUAAGUUAAGUGGUAAAGGAUGUGGGAUUGCACAGACAACCAGGAUGUUGGCUUAGAAGCAGCCACUCAUUCAAAGAGUGCGUAAUAGCUCACUGGUCGAGUGAUCCUGCGCCGAAGAUUUCCGGGGCUAAAACUUACUACCGAAGCUACGGCAUCAGUAAUGAUGGGUAGGGGAGCUUCCCAUACGGGUUGAAGCAUGACCGUAAGGACAUGUGGACAGUAUGGGAGUGAGAAUGUUGGCAUGAGUAGCGAGAUGUGGGUGAGAAUCCCACAGGCCGUAAACCCAAGGUUUCCAGGGGAAGGUUCGUCCGCCCUGGGUUAGUCGGGACCUAAGCUGAGGCCGAAAGGCGUAGGUGAUGGACAACAGGUUGAUAUUCCUGUACUACCGAUAACCGUUUGAGAGAAGGGAUGACACAGUAGGAUAAGCUAAGCACACUGUUGGUUAUGUGUGCCCAAGCAUUGAGGCAGUCAAAGUAGGCAAAUCCGCUUUGAUAAUGCUGGGAUGUGAUGGGGAGCGAAAUUUAGUAGCGAAGUAGCUGAUUUCACACUGUCAAGAAAAGUCUCUAUCGAGGUUAAAGGUACCCGUACCGCAAACCGACACAGGUGGGUGAGGAGAGUAUCCUAAGGCCAGCGAGAGAACUGUUGUUAAGGAACUCGGCAAAAUGACCCCGUAACUUAGGGAUAAGGGGUGCCACCAUCAGGUGGCCGCAGAGAAUAGGCCCAAGCGACUGUUUACCAAAAACAUAGGUUUCUGCUAAGUCGCAAGACGAUGUAUAGGAGCUGACGCCUGCCCGGUGCUGGAA